rnacentral:tRNA from 1 species
UGGAGAUGUAGCCCAGUGGUGGAAGUUGCCUAGCAAGUACAAGGUCCUGGGUUCAAUUCCCAGUGCUGCAA